CCUACGGGUGGCUGCAGUGAGGAAUAUUGGUCAAUGGCCGAGAGGCUGAACCAGCCAAGUCGCGUGAGUGAAGACGGCCCUACGGUUUGUAAACCUCUUUUGUCGGGGAGCAAAGCGAGUCACGUGUGACUCAUUGCGAGUACCCGACGAAAAAGCAUCGGCUAACUCCGUUCCAGCAGCCUCGGUAAUACGGGGGAUGCGAGCGUUAUCCGGAUUUAUUGGGUUUAAAGGGUGCGCCGGGGGCGAGUUACGUCAGCGGUAAAAUUUCGGGGCUCAACCCCGACGAGCCGUUGAUACUGGCUGGCUAGAGUGGGAGAGAAGUAUGCGGAAUGCGUGGUGUAGCGGUGAAAUGCAUAGAGAUCACGAAGAAUUCCGAUUGCGAAGGCAGCAUCCCGGAG
rnacentral:rRNA from 1 species